UACAGAGGUCUCAAGCGUUGUUCGGAUUCAUUGGGCGUAAAGGGUGCGUAGGCGGCGCGGUAAGUCGGGUGUGAAAUCUCGGGGCUUAACUCCGAAACUGCAUUCGAUACUGCCGUGCUUGAAGACUGGAGAGGAGGCUGGAAUUUACGGUGUAGCGGUGAAAUGCGUAGAUAUCGUAAGGAAGACCAGUGGCGAAGGCGGGUCUCUGGACAGUUCCUGACGCUGAGGCACGAAGGUCAGGGGAGCAAACGGG
rnacentral:rRNA from 1 species